GCGAAGGAAUUUCAAUGGCAAGUGUGCUUGGACUCCAGUGACCCGGGCUUGUCGAGAUCGCCUCUAGCAUAGGAUCAGUUUAGAAUUCUCAGAAGAGAAGGAAGCACUGACACCUCAGCUUCACAGAGACAUUGUGUCAGCCCAGGAAAUGUAGAGAGACCAAAUGCAGAAUCUGUGAACCAUUGGAGCUGGUAGUUUCCGUGGCCUCGGAUGCGGAAUGUUGCUG
rnacentral:lncRNA from 1 species